rnacentral:rRNA from 1 species
AAGUCGAACGCUGAAGCUCAGCUUUUGUUGGGUGGAUGAGUGGCGAACGGGUGAGUAACACGUGAGUAACCUGCCCCCUUCUUUGGGAUAACGCCCGGAAACGGGUGCUAAUACUGGAUAUUCACUGAUCUUCGCAUGGGGGUUGGUGGAAAGGUUUUUCUGGUGGGGGAUGGGCUCGCGGCCUAUCAGCUUGUUGGUGGGGUGAUGGCCUACCAAGGCUUUGACGGGUAGCCGGCCUGAGAGGGUGACCGGUCACAUUGGGACUGAGAUACGGCCCAGACUCCUACGGGAGGCAGCAGUGGGGAAUAUUGCACAAUGGGCGGAAGCCUGAUGCAGCGACGCCGCGUGAGGGAUGGAGGCCUUCGGGUUGUAAACCUCUUUCGCUCAUGGUCAAGCCGCAACAGUGGUUGUGGUGAGGGUAGUGGGUAAAGAAGCGCCGGCUAACUACGUGCCAGCAGCCGCGGUAAUACGUAGGGCGCGAGCGUUGUCCGGAAUUAUUGGGCGUAAAGGGCUUGUAGGCGGUUGGUCGCGUCUGCCGUGAAAUCCUCUGGCUUAACUGGGGGCGUGCGGUGGGUACGGGCUGACUUGAGUGCGGUAGGGGAGACUGGAACUCCUGGUGUAGCGGUGGAAUGCGCAGAUAUCAGGAAGAACACCGGUGGCGAAGG